rnacentral:rRNA from 1 species
CAAGGAGUCUAACAUGCGCGCGAGUCGUUGGGUCGGACACGCUCCGCUAAACCCAUAGGCGCAAUGAAAGUGAAGGUUUCCCUUGCGGGACCGAGGGAGGACGGAGGCCUCNNNNNNNNGUGCNNNNNNNNGGGCCUCCUGCACUCCCGGGGCGUCUGAUUCCUCUUUUUGAGGGAAGGCGCACCCAGAGCGCACACGUUGGGACCCGAAAGAUGGUGAACUAUGCCUGGCCAGGACGAAGUCAGGGGAAACCCUGAUGGAGGUCCGUAGCGAUUCUGACGUGCAAAUCGAUCGUCGGAGCUGGGUAUAGGGGCGAAAGACUAAUCGAACA